rnacentral:rRNA from 1 species
ACUCCUACGGGAGGCAGCAGUGGGGAAUAUUGCACAAUGGGGGAAAUCCUGAUGCAGCCAUGCCGCGUGUGUGAAGAAGGCCUUCGGGUUGUAAAGCACUUUCAGUAGGGAGGAAGGUAGUGUAGUUAACACCUGCAUUAUUUGACGUUACCUACAGGGAAGAAGCACCGGCUAACUCCGUGCCAGCAGCCGCGGUAAUACGGAGGGUGCGAGCGUUAAUCGGAAUUACUGGGCGUAAAGCGCACGUAGGCGGCUUUGUAAGUCGGAUGUGAAAGCCCCGGGCUUGAACCUGGGAAUGGCAUUGCGAUACUGCAGAGCUAGAGUAUGGUAGAGGGAAGUGGAAUUUCCGGUGUAGCGGUGAAAUGCGUAGAUAUCGGAAGGAACACCGGUGGCGAAGGCGACUUCCUGGGCCAAUACUGACGCUGAGGUGCGAAAGCGUGGGGUAGCAAACAGGAUUAGAUACCCUGGUAGGCUCUG